GUCCCUGUAGCGCAAUGGAUUGCGAGUUGGACUUCUAAUACAAAGUUCGUGGGUUCGAAUCCCACCUGGGAUG